ensembl:snRNA U1 U1 spliceosomal RNA
AUACUGACCUGGCAGGCGAGAUAACAUGAUCAUGGAGGUGAUUGUCCAGGGUGAGGCUGGAAUGUUCUGACCCCUGAGAUUUCCUGAAAGGUGGGGACCCUGACUGCAUAGUUUGUGGUAGCAGGGAGAAAAUAAAUAAAUAAAAGUAGAUAAUUUCUAAAGGUCUUUUCAUUUCUA